UUAGCCAUCAGAAUGUUUUACACCUUUUUUUAGUAAUUUUUCUUUCUUUAUCUGAAUGUGGUUUUUUUUAAGAUACUGGACGAGCUGCAGCGAAUCAUCCAACCAACCAACGCCCAGUACAUAUCAAUGCAGUUGCAGUGGAGCAUAUCACAGCUGUCUUGAGCCCUGCCACUACUCUUUCCAUACAGCACUAUGACACCAAAGAAACUGGUCUCAAGCAGCGAGGCUCUUUUCCAUGUUGUUGCGACUUCUGAGGAUCCUGAUGGUUUCAGACUGUGGCCCCGUCUCCUGUUCUGCUCGUUUCUGAGGACAACUGCAUGAUCGCCAUUGGAAACACACCAGUGACCACCUUCACCAUGGACAGACUUCAUAAGGGACUUCUCUAUCUCAUGGCAUAUAACUAUGCCCUGCACAUGACCUACCCAAAGUGCAUUUCUACACUACUGUCAGUACUGCAGACAGAGGUACUUCAAGAUUUAAUUCAUGAGCAGGAUUUGACCCCUCACUACAAAAAAGCAAUUGGUGAGUGGAAGUCAUUCAUUGAGUGAAUGAGUCCCUUUGUUUGAGUCCCUUUUGAGUUUCAAAGAAAGCUGAAGUUCUGUUUCCAUAAAAAUUCAUCACUGUUAGUCACUUUUGUGGGUGAGAAUGAAAACCUUUCCUGUGGGAUAUUAUGCUGCAAAGCAGCUGCAACAUUAUAUUGUUAAAACUGUCUUUUCAAUCUGUUAGAUUAUAAUAGAUUUGGAAUGUGGAAGUGCUCUUGUUUUGGCUGGUGAAUUGAGCAAUUGUACUGCAAAGUUAAUAAAAAUGUAUUAAAUGAGACAGUUUUGGUAUCUUGAUUUAAGACAACUUCACUUAUAUUUGUUAUGCUGUUUUAUGAAAUUAUGUCUUAUUUAAAUUACUUUUAUGGUCAUUAUGAAUCCCAGAUGAAGGUGUCAUUUCUUAAAAUUAAUUUAGU